UUCGACGGAGGGACACGUUCGUCGGGCGUUCCGGUUGCCGGAUGCCUGGCGGUGCUUGAGUGGUGGUGUACGCUGAUUUCGCUAAGAUGGCUGCCAACGGACGUGUGCUGCAAUGGUGCGAAAAGACGCUUGGCUUCUGUGCGUGUGCCGGUUCUGAAGUUUACGAAUUCAGUAAAAGUUUUUCGGAAAGAGUAAGCUUGGAUUAGCGCAGAAGGGCGUAGUGCGAGCUGCAUUGCAGAAGAAUCGGGCGUUUUCAUACCGAUGGAAACUAGGCGUUCUUGCCAGUGCUUCACGCCGUGUAUGGUGUCUUCCGGUGCCGGUCAUCCAAUGGCUUGGCGUCGUGCUAAUGGACGAAAAUAGAUGGUACGCUGCGCUAGUUUGCGGCCAUGAUUUCGACCGACAUCGCUAAAGGAAUUGCUGAAGGAGCGGGUUUGUUAACUAUCUAGCAAACUCAUCCCACGGGCUGUGAUGGAAAGGCGUGGAUUAAGAUGGUUUCACCUCCGAAAAUUCACCUUUCAACUGUUGGUCGUACGUGAGCAACGGUUAGUCAUCGCAGUGCUGUGAGCCUUUCUUCAGUUCGUUCCAGACGCUUCGCUAAACUUCGAGUUUCAUGGGAAUAGGUCGUAGUCAUAUAGCAUGACUAAUGAUCUCUCAUUACUCAAGUUCUUAUACCAACUUAU